rnacentral:rRNA from 1 species
GAUCCUGGCUCAGAUUGAACGCUGGCGGCAGGCCUAACACAUGCAAGUCGAACGGUAACAGGAAGAAGCUUGCUUCUUUGCUGACGAGUGGCGGACGGGUGAGUAAUGUCUGGGAAACUGCCUGAUGGAGGGGGAUAACUACUGGAAACGGUAGCUAAUACCGCAUAACGUCGCAAGACCAAAGAGGGGGGACCUUCGGGCCUCUUGCCAUCGGAUGUGCCCAGAUGGGAUUAGCUUGUUGUGGGG